GCCGGGCGUGAUGGCUCACACCUGUAAUCCCUGCACUUUGGGAGGCUGAGGUGGGUGGAUCACUUGAGGUCAGGAGUUUGAGACCAGCCUGGCCAACAUGGUGAAACCCCAUCUCUA
ensembl:misc_RNA Metazoa_SRP Metazoan signal recognition particle RNA